GAUUCGGUCUGAAAGGGUUCGCAGCACAUGGGAAGUGAGGAAGAGGCAACAUGGGGUGAGAAGGCCGGGGACGGCCUCCUGCAGCGUGAGUGAAGCUACGUGGGCAGAGCAAGAGGUUUGCAAGAGAUCACAGAGACCGACUGUGAGAUGCUUUACUCCAAACUCAAAGCAGUUGCUACACAGAAGCAAAAACUUCUAUUUUUCACUGUGAAGAUGCCUGGAAUAAAAGACCAUAAGAAGAGAGAGGCCCAGCUAUCACAACCAUUCCAACCAUACCACAUGAGGGCUCAGUCUGAAAUCUAAUUAAAUUUUGGAUCAGCACAUGAUAGAAGGAAAGGCUUUCUAUUGUGUUCCAAUGAUCUAUUCAUCUGUUCUUUCACCAAGACAACACUGCCUUGAAGUGGUA